GAUAACGGUUCCUGCCGUCCCUUCGGGGGCGGGUGAGGCCCCAUGUGGAUCACGUGGUUGAUAGGCCGGGUGUGGAAGCCCUGUGAGGGGUGGAGCUGACCGGUACUAAUGGCCGAAGACGACCCUUU
rnacentral:ncRNA from 1 species